AUUGAACGCUGGCGGCAUGCCUUACACAUGCAAGUCGAACGGCAGCGGGCCUUCGGGUGCCGGCGAGUGGCGAACGGUGAGUAAUGCAUCGGAACGUGCCAUUGAGUGGGGGAUAACGUAGCGAAAGUUACGCUAAUACCGCAUAUUCUGUGAGCAGGAAAGCAGGGGACCGCAAGGCCUUGCGCUCUUUGAGCGGCCGAUGUCAGAUUAGCUAGUUGGUGAGGUAAAGGCUUACCAAGGCGACGAUCUGUAGCGGGUCUGAGAGGAUGAUCCGCCACACUGGAACUGAGACACGGUCCAGACUCCUACGGGAGGCAGCAGUGGGGAAUUUUGGACAAUGGGCGCAAGCCUGAUCCAGCCAUGCCGCGUGAGUGAAGAAGGCCUU
rnacentral:rRNA from 1 species